GCCGCCGCGCCGCCCCCCGGGUCUCCAGCGCGGUUCACAUGAAGCAUAAUCAACUCAAGAUCAUCUAUUUUGUCCCAAAAGGCAAAAUUUCAUCUUUUCAAAUAACUGAGCAUCCAAUUGAACAAAUUCCAUAAUUUCUUUCUGCAGUCAUCUGCUGCUGGGCACUUACGUUGCUGUGGAUAAUGCUGCUAUGAACAAAGGGCCAGCCCCCCUCCCUGACAGAAAUGAAAGACGAAGAGAGACGUGCAGCGGGGGAGAAAGGACCCUCUCCGGAGCUUCGUCCAGCUCCCGGCAGCUCCUGACCUCCUUGCCUCACCCGUCACUGAAUGCCACUGAAUGCCACGGAGGUGCUGGGUGCCCCCUUGAUUUGAAUCCCAUGCAGAGACCCCUCAGCCGUCUGCGCAUCUGUCCUGCCCGGGACACAGCCCCGGGCCGCCGGGCCGCCACGUGCCCGCACAGCCUGUUCCGGCUGAGCCCGCCUGGGGCUGCUUGGGCCCAGCCCGGGUGAUCUCCUGCAUCAUGUGCUUGGCCCUUCGGGCUCAGACUCUUCCUGUUCUCCUUUCAAAAUGACCUCCCCACAGUCUUUGAUUUUACCCCUGCCCAGCUGUCCACCUUGUGAGCUGUCAUUAGCGUCACCCAUUCCUGAGCACCUGCUGCUCUUGCAAAGUUGAGGAGCCGCCCCCGCCCUACCAGUCCUGGCUGUUGCCAGAGAAAGAGGCUGGGGUCACACCACUGAUUUCCCAGCACAGAGGGCAACUCCUUUGUAGGGCACACCCUGGGGGCAGCUGUUCCUCUGUGGGCUCCAGCACCGAUGGGGAAGCUGUGCUCAGAGGAGGCCCCGAAGCCACGUUUGAGGCUCUGCCAGGGGCUGUCCCUGUCUCCAGGCCGGGGACCUCGAGGGCAUAUUGGCUGUGCUGCUGGCCUUCUACCUGACUCUCGGUCCUCUCCUGGCCUCUGACUUUCUGACUUGCAAAACACAGCGAAGACUGGAAUGGUCAGCUCAAUGAAACCCUCUUUAGUGGACAAGAUCCCAGGCCGAGCUGUGGAGGCUGGGGAAGGACCCACAGUCGGCGGCAUCAGCGGAAGGGGUGCUUUAUGGUGCUGGGUCAGUCUCCGCCAUGGGUCUCCUGCAGCCCGGGUCAGGGGUUACGCUACUUCCAGCCCAUCAAUGGAUCCCGGAUCUGGUCCCACCCGUAGCCCAUGGAUAACAUCCCCUCUGCGCCAGGGGGUCUCAUAGUCAGGGGGAGUCUCGAUGUAAGGCCUGAAUUCUCUUCAUGCCGCUCAGCCUUGCGACCUUACCUGCUGGGGCCGAGGGCUGUGGCACGUUCUGCUCAGCACCCACCUGGCAGUUCUAGGCCGGCUCCUCCACUGAGAGGCGCAGGUGUGGGCGUCCUGCAGAGGGUGCCCCACCCCCAGCCUCCACACACUCAGCUUGGGGCCACUGUGCUUUGGGUCCUGGUGAGUUUGGGUCGGCAGAAGAGGCUGCCCCAGAGGGCUUCAGCUUGUGGCCCAUGGUGGACUCGUUGCUGAAGCCAAAGUCUGCAACCCUGAUGUUCAGGUCAGUUUCCAAAAGCAGGUUGUCUGGCUUUAGGUCCCUGAGGACGCGGUCGGCCAGUCGUCCUGGGCCACCUCUUCCGGGUGGCCGUGGCCCGGCAGGUGAUCAAACAUGUCUCUCCUGCUGGGGCCCCCUGACCUGGUGGUGUUUCCAUGGUGUCAGUCACCUUUCAUAGU